GCAUAUCAAUAAGCGAGGAAAAGAAACUAACAAGGAUUCCCCUAGUAACUGCGAGUGAAGCGGGAAAAGCUCAAAUUUAAAAUCUGGUGGUCUUUGAUCAUCCGAGUUGUAAUCUAGAGAAGUGUUACCCGCGUUGGACCGUGUACAAGUCUCCUGGAAUGGAGCGUCAUAGAGGGUGAGAAUCCCGUCUUUGACACGGACUACCAAGGCUUUGUGGUGCGCUCUCAACGAGUCGAGUUGUUUGGGAAUGCAGCUCAAAAUGGGUGGUAAAUUCCAUCUAAAGCUAAAUACAGGCGAGAGACCGAUAGCGAACAAGUACCGUGAGGGAAAGAUGAAAAGAACUUUGGAAAGAGAGUUAAACAGUACGUGAAAUUGCUGAAAGGGAAACGCUGGAAGUCAGUCGCGUUGGCUAGGAAUCAACCUUACUCUUUUGUAGGGCUUACUUCUUAGUUGACGGGCCAACAUCAAUUUUGAUUGCUGGAAAAAGGCUUAGGGAAUGUGGCACCUUCGGGUGUGUUAUAGCCCUAGGUUGUAUACAGUGGUUGGGAUUGAGGAACGCAGCACGCCGUAAGGUUGGGUCUCUGAUCACACUCGUGCUUCGGAUGUUGGCAUAAUGGCUUUCAUCGACCCGUCUUGAAACACGGACCAAGGAGUCUAACAUGCCUGCGAGUGUUUGAGUGGAAAACUCGAGCGCACAAUGAAAGUAAUAGUUGAGAUCUCUGUCAUGGAGAGCAUCGACGCCCGGACCUGAUGUUUACUGACGGUUCUGCGGUAGAGCAUGUAUGUUGGGACCCGAAAGAUGGUGAACUAUGCCUGAAUAGGGUGAAGCCAGAGGAAACUCUGGUGGAGGCUCGUAGCGAUUCUGACGUGCAAAUCGAUCGUCAAAUUUGGGUAUAGGGGCGAAAGACUAAUC
rnacentral:rRNA from 1 species